AGUCAUAACAAGUUCAGUAGGUGAACUGCGGAAGGAUCAUUAAUAGAGAUGCAUGCCCUCGGGUCAAGACCUCCACCCCCGGUUACCAGGUACCGUGCUUUGGCGUCCCGUCGCGAGACGGCCGCCAGAGGACCUUUAAACCCGUAUUAUCAUUGUCGUCUGAGUACCUAUACAAUAGUUAAAA
rnacentral:misc_RNA from 1 species